rnacentral:rRNA from 1 species
GUCUACGGCCACACCACCCUGAACGCGCCCUGUCUCCUCUGAUCUCGGAAGCUAAGCAGGGUCGAGUCUGGUUAGUAGUUGGAUGGGAGACAAAGAAGGCAUCCCUGGGGCACCUGAUC